rnacentral:SRP_RNA from 1 species
AAGCCGGGUGUCGCCAAUGUUUGAAUGUGAACCAUGUCAGGUCGGGAACGAAGCAGCAUUAAGCAAGCUCAGACAUGUGUGCUGCCGCCCGGUUUUUU